rnacentral:rRNA from 1 species
GACGAACGCUGGCGGCGUGCUUAACACAUGCAAGUCGAACGGAAAGGCCCUGCUUGCAGGGUACUCGAGUGGCGAACGGGUGAGUAACACGUGGGUGAUCUGCCCUGCACUUCGGGAUAAGCCUGGGAAACUGGGUCUAAUACCGGAUAGGAGCCAUAUUUAGUGUGAUGGUUGGAAAGUUUUUUCGGUGUAGGAUGAGCUCGCGGCCUAUCAGCUUGUUGGUGGGGUAAUGGACUACCAAGGCGGCGACGGGUAGCCGGCCUGAGCGGGUGGACGGCCACACUGGGACGGAGUGACGGCCCAGACACCUACGGGAGGCAGGGGGGGGGAAUAUUGCACAAGGGGCGCAAGACUGAUGCAGCGACGCCGCGUGGGGGAUGACGGCAUUCGGGUUGUAAACUCCUUUCGCUAGGGACGAAGCAUUUUGUGACGGUACCUAGAUAAGAAGCACCGGCUAACUACGUG